rnacentral:tRNA from 1 species
GGAGAGGUUGCAUAGAGGCCGAAUGCGGCGGGUUGCUAACCCGUUAAGGGGGCAAUAGCCUCCUUCGAGGGUUCGAAUCCCUCCCUCUCCG